AUUCUGUGAUGAGGGUAUUUUCGUACUAAUUUUUGUACCUUUCCCAUGCUUCAUACAAGGACUCAUCAUCCAUUUGUUGGAAAGCAGUGAUCUCGUUCCUCAACUU
rfam:Gossypium raimondii Chr09_contig_1547, whole genome shotgun sequence.